rnacentral:rRNA from 1 species
UACGUAGGGUGCGAGCGUUAAUCGGAUUUACUGGGCGUAAAGCGUGCGCAGGCGGUUUUAUAAGUCAGGGGUGAAAUCCCCCGGCUCAACCUGGGAAUGGCCUUUGUGACUGUAAGACUAGAGUACGGUAGAGGGGGAUGGAAUUCCGCGUGUAGCAGUGAAAUGCGUAGAUAUGCGGAGGAACACCGAUGGCGAAGGCAAUCCCCUGGACCUGUACUGACGCUCAUGCACGAAGGCGUGGGGAGCAAACAGG